GCAUAACGCGAAGAACCUUACCCACCUUUGACAUGUACGGAAUCCUUUAGAGAUAGAGGAGUGCUCGAAAGAGAGCCGUAACACAGGUGCUGCAUGGCUGUCGUCAGCUCGUGUCGUGAGAUGUUGGGUUAAGUCCCGCAACGAGCGCAACCCUUGCCAUUAGUUGCUACAUUUAGUUGAGCACUCUAAUGGGACUGCCGGUGACAAACCGGAGGAAGGUGGGGAUGACGUCAAGUCCUCAUGGCCCUUAUAGGUGGGGCUACACACGUCAUACAAUGGCUGGUACAAAGGGUUGCCAACCCGGCGAGGGGGUAGCUAAUCCCAUAAAGCCAGUCGUAGUCCGGAUCGCAGUCUGCAACUCGACUGCGUGAAGUCGGAAUCGCUAGUAAUCGUGGAUCAGAAUGUCACGGUGAAUACGUUCCCGGGUC
rnacentral:rRNA from 1 species